rnacentral:rRNA from 1 species
UACGUAGGGAGCAAGCGUUGUCCGGAAUCAUUGGGCGUAAAGCGCGCGUAGGUGGCUUCGUAAGUCCGUUGUGAAAGUCAAAGGCUCAACCUUUGAAAGCCGGAUGGAUACUGUGGAGCUAGAGUACGGAAGAGGCGAGUGGAAUUCCUGGUGUAGCGGUGGAAUGCGCAGAUAUCAGGAGGAACACCAAUAGCGAAGGCAGCUCGCUGGGACGUUACUGACACUGAGGCGCGAAAGCGUGGGAGCGAACAGG